rnacentral:rRNA from 1 species
UACGGGGGGAGCAAGCGUUGUUCGGAUUUACUGGGCGUAAAGGGCGCGUAGGCGGUCAGCACAAGUCAGUUGUGAAAUCUCCGGGCUUAACCCGGAAAGGUCAACUGAUACUGUGCGACUAGAGUGCGGAAGGGGCAACUGGAAUUCUCGGUGUAGCGGUGAAAUGCGUAGAUAUCAGGAGGAACACCGGUGGCGAAGGCGCUCUGCUAGGCCGUAACUGACACUGAGGGACGAAAGCUAGGGGAGCGAAUGGG